rnacentral:rRNA from 1 species
CAAUCGUGACCAGGGAACUCCAAGUGGCUGGGGUAAUACCCAGUUUUUUCUUGGCUCUUCAAAGGUCUUGGAAUAAGGGGUGGGUAAGGACGGUGCCAGCCGCCGCGGUAAUACCGGCGCCUCAAGUGGUAGUCGCUUUUAUUGGGCCUAAAACGUCCGUAGCCGGUCUGGUGCAUUCGUGGGUAAAUCAACCCGCUCAACGGGUUGAAUUCUGCGAGCACGGCCAGACUUGGGACCGGGAGAGGUGUGGGGUACUCUCAGGGUAGGGGUAAAAUCCUGUCAUCCUGAGAGGACCACCUGUUGCGAAGGCGCCACACUAGAACGGAUCCGACGGUCAGGGACGAAACCUAGGGGCACGAACCGGAUUAGAUACCCGGGUAGUCCUAGGUGUAAACGCUGUGGACUUGAUGUUGGGGGCGCUCCGAGCGCUCUCAGUGUCGAAGCGAAGGUGAUAAGUCCACUGCCUGGGGAGUACGGUCGCAAGGCUGAAACUUAAAGGAAUUGGCGGGGGAGCACUGCAACCUGAGGAUUGUGCGGUUUAAUUGGACUCAACGCCGGAA